rnacentral:rRNA from 1 species
GGCCUACGGGAGGCAGCAGUCGGGGAUAUUGCGCAAUGGAGGAAACUCUGACGCAGUGACGCCGCGUAUAGGAAGAAGGUUUUCGGAUUGUAAACUAUUGUCGAUAGGGAAGAAAAAAGACUGUACCUAUCAAGAAAGCUCCGGCUAACUCCGUGCCAGCAGCCGCGGUAAUACGGAGGAUGCGAGCGUUAUCCGGAUUUAUUGGGUUUAAAGGGUGCGCAGGCGGUCUGUUAAGUCAGCGGUCAAAGCCCGGGGCUCAACCCCGGCGAGCCGUUGAAACUGGCGGGCUGGAGUUGGAGAGAAGG